CCUUUACCGUGCAAGGUAGCAUAAUCUAUUGUCUUUUAAUUAAAGGCUUGUAUGAAUGGUUGAAUGAGAUAUUAACUAUUUUUAUUUUAAUAAAAAUGAAUUUUAAUUUUUAGUAAAAAUGCUAAAAUAAAAAAAUUAGACGAGAAGACCCUAUAAAUCUUAAUUUUAUUUUUUAUAAUAUUAAUUUUGAAAAUUUUUAAUAAAUUAUAAAAAUAAAAUUUUAUUGGGAGGAUAAUGAAAUUUAAUAAACUUUUAUUUUUUUUUAUAAAUAUAAUUAAAUUAUUGAAUAUAUAAUUAUAAAAUAUUUAAAAAAUUAAGUUACUUUAGGGAUAACAGCGUAAUUAUUUUAAAGAGUUCUUAUCGAUAAAAUAGUUUGCGACCUCGAUGUUGAAUUAAGAAUUAAUUUUAGGUGUAGG
rnacentral:rRNA from 1 species